CUGGCGGCGUGCCUAAUACAUGCAAGUCGAACGGUCUUUCUAUGGAAGCUUGCUUCCACUGAGAAGAUAGUGGCGAACGGGUGAGUAACACGUGGGGUAACCUGCCCAUAAGAGGGGGAUAACAUCCGGAAACGGGUGCUAAUACCGCAUAGUUUUCUUGAUCGCAUGAUCGGGAAAGGAAAGACGGCCUUUGUGCUGUCGCUUAUGGAUGGACCCGCGGCGUAUUAGUUAGUUGGUGAGGUAACGGCUCACCAAGACGAUGAUACGUAGCCGACCUGAGAGGGUGAUCAGCCACAUUGGGACUGAGACACGGCCCAAACUCCUACGGGAGGCAGCAGUAGGGAAUCUUCCGCAAUGGACGAAAGUCUGACGGAGCAACGCCGCGUGAGUGAAGAAAGGUUUUCGGAUCGUAAAACUCUGUUGUCAGAGAAGAACAAGUUGGAGAGUAACUGCUCCAGCCUUGACGGUAUCUGACCAGAAAGCCACGGCUAACUACGUGCCAGCCGCAGC
rnacentral:rRNA from 1 species